rnacentral:rRNA from 1 species
AUAGCAUAUCAAUAAGCGGAGGAAAAGAAACCAACAGGGAUUGCCCUAGUAACGGCGAGUGAAGCGGCAACAGCUCAAAUUUGAAAUCUGGCUCUCGGGCCCGAGUUGUAAUUUGUAGAGGAUACUUUUGAUGCGGUGCCUUCCGAGUUCCCUGGAACGGGACGCCAUAGAGGGUGAGAGCCCCGUCUGGUUGGAUGCCAAAUCUCUGUAAAGUUCCUUCAACGAGUCGAGUAGUUUGGGAAUGCUGCUCUAAAUGGGAGGUAUAUGUCUUCUAAAGCUAAAUACCGGCCAGAGACCGAUAGCGCACAAGUAGAGUGAUCGAAAGAUGAAAAGCACUUUGAAAAGAGAGUUAAAAAGUACGUGAAAUUGUUGAAAGGGAAGCGUUUAUGACCAGACUUGGGCUUGGUUAAUCAUCUGGGGUUCUCCCCAGUGCACUUUUCCAGUCCAGGCCAGCAUCAGUUUUCCCCGGGGGAUAAAGGCGGCGGGAAUGUGGCUCUCUUCGGGGAGUGUUAUAGCCCACCGUGUAAUACCCUGGGGGGGACUGAGGUUCGCGCAUCUGCAAGGAUGCUGGCGUAAUGGUCAUCAACGACCCGUCUUGAAACACGGACCAAGGAGUCGUCUUCGUAUGCGAGUGUUCGGGUGUCAAACCCCUACGCGUAAUGAAAGUGAACGCAGGUGAGAGCUUCGGCGCAUCAUCGACCGAUCCUGAUGUUCUCGGAUGGAUUUGAGUAAGAGCAUACGGGGCCGGACCCGAAAGAAGGUGAACUAUGCCUGUAUAGGGUGAAGCCAGAGGAAACUCUGGGGGAAGCUCGCAGCGGGUUCUGACGUGCAAAUCGAUCGUCAAAUAUGGGCAUGGGGGCGAAAGACUAAUCGAACCUUCUAGUAGCUGGUUUCCGCCGAGC